ACGAACGCUGGCGGCGAGCUUAACACAUGCAAGGCGAGCGGUAAGGCGCUUUCGGGGGUACACGAGCGGCGAACGGGUGAGUAACACGUGAGCAAUCUGCCCCUGUCUCUGGGAUAACCACUGGAAACGGGGGCUAAUACCGGAUAUGACCUCCUUCUGCAUGGGUGGGGGUGGAAAAGUCCGCUGGACAGGGAUGAGCUCGCGGCCGAUCAGCUUGUUGGUGGGGUAAUGGCCCACCAAGGCGACGACGGGUAGCCGGCCUGGGAGGGUGGCCGGCCACACUGGGACUGAGACACGGCCCAGACUCCUACGGGAGGCAGCGGUGGGGAAUAUUGGCCAAUGGGCGAAAGCCUGAUCCAGCAACGCCGCGUGAGGGAUGACGGCCUUCGGGUUGUAAACCUCUUUCAGCAGGGACGAAGCGAAAGUGACGGUACCUGCAGAAGAAGGACCGGCCAACUACGUG
rnacentral:rRNA from 1 species